rnacentral:rRNA from 2 species
UACCCGCUGAACUUAAGCAUAUCAAUAAGCGGAGGAAAAGAAACCAACAGGGAUUGCCUC